AGGACUUCCUUUAGGGCCUCAGGGCCCUGCCUCCUCCCUGGUCUCUCACGGGAUGUUUUCUUCCCGCAGGUGCAAAAGGUGGGAGCUAUGCUCAGGCUGCCACGUGAGGCAGCUGCCUUGUGGGGACUGAGUGAUGGAAGAUGUGUUCACGCUCCCACUUCCUGACUCAAGAACCUCUGAUGGGGAGUCUGGCCCCGCCCUGCUCUCCACACUUUCCUGUCAGCAGGGUUGGGCUGGGCCCUGCCCAUCCCUGCCUUUACUCCCUGCUGCUCUGAGCUGCCACUUCCUGCUCUGUAUUGAAAUGAGACUCUGA